rfam:Ciona savignyi cont_46377, whole genome shotgun sequence.
GGCCGGUUAGCUCAGUUGGUUAGAGCGUCGUGCUAAUAACGCGAAUGUCGCGGGUUCGAUCCCAGUACUGGCCA